rnacentral:rRNA from 1 species
CCUACGGGUGGCAGCAGUGGGGAAUAUUGGGCAAUGGGCGCAAGCCUGACCCAGCAACGCCGCGUGAAGGAAGAAGGCUUUCGGGUUGUAAACUUCUUUUCUCAGGGACGAAGAAAGUGACGGUACCUGAGGAAUAAGCUACGGCUAACUACGUGCCAGCAGCCGCGGUAAUCCGUAGGUGGCAAGCGUUAGCCGGAUUUACUGGGUGUAAAGGGCGUGUAGGCGGGCCUUCAAGUCAGAUGUGAAAACCACGGGCGCAACCUGUGGCCUGCAUUGGAAACUGUAGUUCUUGAGUACUGGAGAGGCAGACGGAAUGCCUAGUGUAGCGGUGAAAUGCGUAGAGAUUAGGAGGAAAACCAGUGGCGAAGGCGGUCUGCUGGACAGCAACUGACGCGGAGGCGCGAAAGCGUGGGGAGCAAACAGGAUUAGAUACCCUGGUAGUC